GAGUUUGAUUCCUGGCUCAGGACGAACGCUGGCGGCGUGCUUAACACAUGCAAGUCGAACGGUGAACUCAGAGCUUGCUCUGAGGGAUCAGUGGCGAACGGGUGAGUAACACGUGAGUAACCUGCCCCAGACUCUGGAAUAAGCGCUGGAAACGGCGUCUAAUACCGGAUACGAGACAGAGAGGCAUCUCUACUGUCUGGAAAGUUUUUCGGUCUGGGAUGGACUCGCGGCCUAUCAGCUUGUUGGUGAGGUAACGGCUCACCAAGGCGACGACGGGUAGCCGGCCUGAGAGGGCGACCGGCCACACUGGGACUGAGACACGGCCCAGACUCCUACGGGAGGCAGCAGUGGGGAAUAUUGCACAAUGGGCGAAAGCCUGAUGCAGCGACGCCGCGUGAGGGAUGACGGCCUUCGGGUUGUAAACCUCUUUCAGCAGGGAAGAAGCGAAAGUGACGGUACCUGCAGAAGAAGCACCGGCUAACUACGUGCCAGCAGCCGCGGUAAUACGUAGGGUGCGAGCGUUGUCCGGAAUUAUUGGGCGUAAAGAGCUUGUAGGCGGUUUGUCGCGUUUGCUGUGAAAAUCCGGGGCUCAACCCCGGACUUGCAGUGGGUACGGGCAGACUAGAGUAUGGUAGGGGAGACUGGAAUUCCUGGUGUAGCGGUGAAAUGCGCAGAUAUCAGGAGGAACACCGAUGGCGAAGGCAGGUCUUUGGGCCACUACUGACGCUGAGAAGCGAAAGCAUGGGGAGCGAACAGGAUUAGAUACCCUGGUAGUCCAUGCCGUAAACGUUGGGCGCUAGGUGUGGGACUCAUUCCACGAGUUCCGUGCCGCAGCUAACGCAU
rnacentral:rRNA from 1 species